UGUUUUGUGUAUGCUGUUGUCUGUAAGUUCUGUUUCCUGUUUUAUUUUGAAGUUGGGUUUCUGUCUUGUCCUGUUUUUGGUUUUACUUCCUGUGUCUUCCCGCUCUUGU